UACGUAGGGUGCAAGCGUUGUCCGGAAUUAUUGGGCGUAAAGAGCUCGUAGGCGGUCUGUCGCGUCGGCUGUGAAAACCCGAGGCUCAACCUCGGGCCUGCAGUCGAUACGGGCAAACUAGAGUACUGCAGGGGAGACUGGAAUUCCUGGUGUAGCGGUGAAAUGCGCAGAUAUCAGGAGGAACACCGGUGGCGAAGGCGGGUCUCUGGGCAGUAACUGACGCUGGAGGAAGCGAAAGCCGUGGGGAGCAAACAGG
rnacentral:rRNA from 1 species